UACGUAGGGUGCGAGCGUUAAUCGGAAUUACUGGGCGUAAAGCGCACGUAGGCGGAUUGCUAAGUCAGGGGUGAAAUCCUGGAGCUCAACUCCAGAACUGCCUUUGAUACUGGCAACCUUGAGUCCGGGAGAGGUGAGUGGAACUGCGAGUGUAGAGGUGAAAUUCGUAGAUAUUCGCAAGAACACCAGUGGCGAAGGCGGCUCACUGGCCCGGUACUGACGCUGAGGUGCGAAAGCGUGGGGAGCAAACAGG
rnacentral:rRNA from 1 species